CUGCGGCAGGCCUAACACAUGCAAGUCGAGCGGUAACAGAGAUAGCUUGCUAUCUGCUGACGAGCGGCGGACGGGUGAGUAAUGCUUGGGAAUAUGCCUUUUGGUGGGGGACAACAGUUGGAAACGACUGCUAAUACCGCAUAACGUCUACGGACCAAAGUGGGGGACCUUCGGGCCUCACGCCAAGAGAUUAGCCCAAGUGGGAUUAGCUAGUUGGUAAGGUAAUGGCUUACCAAGGCAACGAUCCCUAGCUGGUUUGAGAGGAUGAUCAGCCACACUGGAACUGAGACACGGUCCAGACUCCUACGGGAGGCAGCAGUGGGGAAUAUUGCACAAUGGGCGCAAGCCUGAUGCAGCCAUGCCGCGUGUGUGAAGAAGGCCUUCGGGUUGUAAAGCACUUUCAGUCAGGAGGAAAGGUUAGUAGUUAAUAGCUGCUAGCUGUGACGUUACUGACAGAAGAAGCACCGGCUAACUCCGUGCCAGCAGCCGCGGUAAUACGGAGGGUGCGAGCGUUAAUCGGAAUUACUGGGCGUAAAGCGUACGCAGGCGGUUUGUUAAGCGAGAUGUGAAAGCCCCGGGCUCAACCUGGGAACUGCAUUUCGAACUGGCANACUAAAGUGUGAUAGA
rnacentral:rRNA from 1 species